CCCUCAUUUUACAAAACUCACGAUCCGGAAACGUGCAGGUUAGAAUCGUUUUAAUUUUGGAAUGGUUUUAUAAAAGACCGUUGGAAUUGGGAAGCCAAAAGGUUUAGGUCGGUGUAUUGGCGCAUAAAAUAUACCUUCUCCACUCUUCCUUCUUCACUUCACUCAUCCCGCUCCGCUCUCCAAACACCGUCGGAGACGACUGAUCGCGACCUCUGUAACUCAGCUCACCGGAGACACAAGCACCGCUCACCGGAGACACAAGCACCCCCACCCUUCGUAGGACUAGGACACUCACAACCAUGUCGGUAAUCCUAUGAAGUUAUCUGCUUCAAAUUGCAAAUGUUGUAUGCAUCAGAUGUUCGUUAACCAAAUGUUGAGGAAACAAUGAGGAUUCAGACUUGUACUUAGAGCCAUCCAUCACCUAUAGAAUUAGAAACUAUAACCAUCUACCAUGAAGCCUUUGAUCAUCUUUUACAUGCCUUUUGGUUGUUUUUUUUCAAAUGACAUUGAUCCUAUCAAUAAGUUUGUGGAUCUUUUUAACAUAAACCAGUUACCCCUGCUUGGCUGCUUCUGAUCAUGAACUAAUUAAAUCCAUGGGAAUUGAAUAUGUCUAAUGCUUCUUCUGGUCAGCAUCUUUGCUUUUUGCUCAGCAGAGAGGAUGUGGGUGAGGUUCUUUCUGAAAAAAAAAACAAUUUUAUUGAAGGCUGUAUAAAAGACUAAAUUCGUCCUUACAACCAAAAUAUUGUUUUUCGAAUCUUGCACCUUCUUCUUUAUUCUCACCCCUAAUUUAUCCUAAUAUACAACUCUAUAAAUGUAAUGUAGAUAUUUAUAAUCAUUUGUUAUAUUAUUAAUUAGUUAUCUGUCCUCAUUUUUAAUUGCAUGUUACUUUUUCUUUUAGUGUUUAUGAAAUUAGAGUAUGUAUGUUUGAUGUUUUAUAUAAUUAGUGUUUACUAGUUGUCUUAUGAGUGAAAUCUUUUCCAGUAAAUAUCUCUUAUUUUAGAAAAAAGGUCACUAAAGGGUUUUUUGGUCAUUUAACAUAACUUUCACUUCAAUUCUUUUGAAUAAUUUGCAAACCAAACACAAAACAACACAUGAAAUGAAUCUAAAUUUCUUUCCAUUUUCUUUCAACUAUACACAUGACAUUCCAAUUUGUCUGAUCAAUUCCAUUCAUUUUAAAAGUAUUUUGCAAACCACAAGUUAUCUUAUAUUACUCUGAGAUUAAUUGCUCUUCUUAAUUCCAAUUCCUUUGACAAAAUUCCAUUUUAUACUCUGCAACAAGAAAAGGUUUUAGAAACCAAAUACAGAUGUUGUGGUUUAGAAAAGGAAAAGAAGAUGCUCCCGAGAAUCAAAUUGUUAACAUGUAUGUUUUUACCCUUAACACUAUAAAACACUUGAUGUUUUUUAUGUUCUUAUUUAGUUUUUCUGUUAGUAUGUAAAGAUACACUUCUAUAUCAACUUACUGCCUUCAAUCCAUUGAUUACAAGCUGACAAAGCAUGGAAACAAUAUGCAGGUGUACAGGAAAUGAUGUGCUUAUUUAUUUAAAAGAAGCUAAAUAUUGCAUGGAAAAUGCCUUCAUCACUUAUUUAGUACAUCUGCAAGUUGAGACAUCAGGGAGGGAAAUGCCACAUGGUGUGGUCUUUGGUGGGAUGAAAUGUUAGAAACAAGUGGUCAAUAUAAAGAGGGUGUUGGUGUUUAAGAUCAUCAGAAGACAUGAAUGUAUUUCAUGUGAAUAACUUUGAAAAUCCUCUUCAAAAGAAGUUUGUCUUCAUUAGAGCUUCCAAGAUCUCUCUCUCUCUCUCUCUCUCUCUCUCUCUCUCUCUCUCUCUCUCUCUCUCUCUCUCUCUCUCUCUCUCUCUCUCUCUCUCUCUCUGUGCCUGAGAUCUUUCCAUUCAUGUUUUAGAAAAAAAUCUCUCUUUGUUACAAGGUUUACCCGGGAAACAACUUCCUAACUCUUCUAUGACAGCCUUGUUCAUCGUCAAAGUCAAAGUCAAAGUCAAGGUCAAAAUGAAAGGAGGAAAAAUAUUUGUGCUCCCAAAGACCACCAGCUCUCGAAAUCCCCCCCAUUGAUGCCCCCAUAGUUCCCAAAGAGUCCCUGAGUACCCUCUGACCCUCUUGAGCCACAGCAGCAUCCUUUUGGGGUUGAAGAGGCAACACACAUUUUUUUUACACGAAGAAAUAGCAACAUACUUCAUUCUUUUUACCAAUGAUAACCGGAGCAGUCAAUAGCAACUACAAAUCUGUAGAAAAAGCUAAAUGACUAUAAUAUACGAUGAUGCCAAGGGUUACCAAGGAAUACGCACUAAAUCAGGGAUUAUAUUAUGUGAGCGAAAUUGUUGUGAUGAUCACUAUAUCUUUGUAGGUAAUCUCUGUAUUUAUACCAUUAUAGAUGAUAUCAUUUAGGUUUUUUCGAAUAACACGACAAAAUAUGUAUGAUUUGUGAAAAUUUAGUCAUUUUUCAUAGGCAUUUGCAGGUUUUACUCUUCUAUCUCGUGAUUUCAUCAUCAGAGAAUGAAAGCAAAGAUUGACAAAAAAACGUUUUCGGAAGCGACAAAGUCCCGACUACAGACACGUCUUCUCGCAAUAGCUGUUACGAUCGAUUUGAAAAACCCUAGCAAUGGAAGCGGCAAUCGUCCAUUUUUGUUUCAUGCUGGUAAACAGGAGAUUUCAAGGUUUCCAAUCUUCAAUAAAUUUUUAGCUUUCUUUAGACUUGUGGAGAAGCUGAUGUGGGUGCUUCGUUUCAUCGAUUAUUUUUUUCAGUUAAAGAUGAAGAAUGUGGUUAAUUUCUCAAUUUAGUUUCAUUUUAUGUUUUUUAACCCUAAAGGACUAUAGCGUAAAUGUGCUUUUUUUUUUCUUUGUUUUUGGUCGAAUCAUGCUUUGAUAUGUGUUAUUUGACAACAAGGGUGUUACAGAUCAGCUAUGCCAUACAAGAGGACUCUGCCAAGCUGCCUGAAGAUCUCUCCUCAAGAUGUAAGUAAAUCUCAAUAAUUCAUGGCUUUCUUUGUUUUGAUGCCUUCAAUUACUUUUAAAGUUCGUUAUUAAUCAUCGAGAAUUAAGUGCAAAAGUAUGAAAAAGGGCAAUUUUGAACAAAAAGAGACAUUUAUUUCAGACAUCACGUAAUAAGCUAUUUCAUCGGGUGAAACGUGAAAGAGCACCCUGAAUAUCUAGCUUAUUAGCAAAAAACAAAUAAUGAAGAUCCUGAUAACCUCUGCAUCAACAUCACAAAAAAGAUAUUAGUGAUUCUUUUUGAAAAAAACUAGGGACAAAAAAUUUCUCCUUAAUAAGUCUUAAUUUACCGGUUUGCCCUAUUUUUUGCUUCUCUUCCAUUUCUUCAAUAUUUUUAUUUAAGUAUUUAUAAUUUAUAAUAAUUCAUGUAUAUUGUUACACACGUAUAUUUGAUAUGAAACAAGGUAUUUGUAAUU